CCGAAUGGUUCACGAAAUAUCGUCGUUUUUAUGGCGAAAUUUGUCCCAUAGGAAUGGAUGGCGGAAUGUUCAAAACUAGAGUGGGAGCUGACAAAAGCUAGAGUGUGAGCUGAAAACUCAUGACAUGAUUUCUAAACUGCCACCACUCCCUUAUUUUCAAGCCCACCUACACAAAUCUUAUAUCCAAACGUUCAGCUAUCCCUGCUGCCACUAAAAAUGUCCAC